ensembl:lncRNA
CCCCAUUGGUGUUCUCAUUCAGUCCCAUUGGUGUCCCCAUUCAGUCCCAUUGGUGGCCCCAUUCAGUCCCAUUGGUGUCCCUAUUGCUCGCCCCAUUGGUGUUCUCAUUCAGUCCCAUUGGUGUCCCCAUUCAGUCCCAUUGGUGGCCCCAUUGGUGUCCCCAUUCAGUCCCAUUGCUGUCCCCAUUCAGCCCCAUUGGUGGCCCCAUUGCUGUCCCCAUUCAGUCCCAUUGGUGGCCCCAUUGGUGGCCCCAUUCAGUCCCAUUGGUGGCCCCAUUGGUUCCCAUUGGUGGCCCUAUUGGUGGCCCCAUUCAGUCCCAUUGGUGUCCCCCUUCAGUCCCAUUGGUGGCCCUAUUGGUGUCCCC